GAUGAAGAACGUAGCAAAAUGCGAUAAGUAAUGUGAAUUGCAGAAUUCAGUGAAUCAUCGAAUCUUUGAACGCACAUUGCGCCCGCCAGUAUUCUGGCGGGCAUGCCUGUUCGAGCGUCAUUUCAACCCUCAAGCACAGCUUGGUGUUGGGACUCGCGUUAAUUCGCGUUCCCCAAAUUGAUUGGCGGUCACGUCGAGCUUCCAUAGCGUAGUAGUAAAACCCUCGUUACUGGUAAUCGUCGCGGCCACGCCGUUAAACCCCAACUUCUGAAUGUCGACCUCGGAUCAGGUAGGAAUACCCGCUGAACUUAAGCAUAUCAAUAAGCGGAGGA
rnacentral:misc_RNA from 1 species